UCAGUAUGUGUGUUAGUGGAAGCGUCUGGAAAGGCGCGCGAUACAGGGUGACAGCCCCGUACACAAAAAUGCACAUAUUGUGAGCUCGAUGAGUAGGGCGGGACACGUGGUAUCCUGUCUGAAUAUGGGGGGACCAUCCUCCAAGGCUAAAUACUCCUGACUGACCGAUAGUGAACCAGUACCGUGAGGGAAAGGCGAAAAGAACCCCGGCGAGGGGAGUGAAAAAGAACCUGAAACCGUGUACGUACAAGCAGUGGGAGCACGCUUAGGCGUGUGACUGCGUACCUUUUGUAUAAUGGGUCAGCGACUUAUAUUCUGUAGCAAGGUUAACCGAAUAGGGGAGCCGAAGGGAAACCGAGUCUUAACUGGGCGUUAAGUUGCAGGGUAUAGACCCGAAACCCGGUGAUCUAGCCAUGGGCAGGUUGAAGGUUGGGUAACACUAACUGGAGGACCGAACCGACUAAUGUUGAAAAAUUAGCGGAUGACUUGUGGCUGGGGGUGAAAGGCCAAUCAAACCGGGAGAUAGCUGGUUCUCCCCGAAAGCUAUUUAGGUAGCGCCUCGUGAAUUCAUCUCCGGGGGUAGAGCACUGUUUCGGCAAGGGGGUCAUCCCGACUUACCAACCCGAUGCAAACUGCGAAUACCGGAGAAUGUUAUCACGGGAGACACACGGCGGGUGCUAACGUCCGUCGUGAAGAGGGAAACAACCCAGACCGCCAGCUAAGGUCCCAAAGUCAUGGUUAAGUGGGAAACGAUGUGGGAAGGCCCAGACAGCCAGGAUGUUGGCUUAGAAGCAGCCAUCAUUUAAAGAAAGCGUAAUAGCUCACUGGUCGAGUCGGCCUGCGCGGAAGAUGUAACGGGGCUAAACCAUG
rnacentral:rRNA from 1 species